rnacentral:rRNA from 1 species
GACGGAGGGGGCUAGCGUUGUUCGGAAUUACUGGGCGUAAAGCGCGCGUAGGCGGCUUGAUCAGUUGGGCGUGAAAGGCCUGGGCUCAACCCGGGAACUGCGCUCAAUACGGUCUGGCUUGAGUUCGGAAGAGGGUAGUGGAACUCCCAGUGUAGAGGUGAAAUUCGUAGAUAUUGGGAAGAACACCAGUGGCGAAGGCGGCUACCUGGUCCGACACUGACGCUGAGGCGCGAAAGCGUGGGGAGCAAACAGG